CCUACGGGGGGCAGCAGUGGGGAAUAUUGCACAAUGGGGGCAACCCUGAUGCAGCAAAGCCGCGUGAAGGAAGACGGUUCUCGGAUUUGAAACUUCUGUUCUUAGUGAAGUAUAAUGACGGUAGCUAAGGAGCAAGCCACGGCUAACUACGUGCCAGCAGCCGCGGUAAUACGUAGGUGGCAAGCGUUGUCCGGAAUUACUGGGUGUAACGGGAGCGCAGGCGGGAAGCCAAGUCAGCUGUGAAAACUACGGGCUUAACUUGUAGACUGCAGUUGAAACUGGUUUUCUUGAGUGAAGUAGAGGUUGGCGGAAUUCCGAGUGUAGCGGUGAAAUGCGUAGAUAUUCGGAGGAACACCGAUUGCGAAGGCGGCCAACUGAGCUUUAACUGACGCUGAGGCUCGAAAGUGUGGGUAGCAAACAGGAUUAGAUACCCUGGUAGUC
rnacentral:rRNA from 1 species